rnacentral:rRNA from 1 species
UACGGGGGGGGCAAGCGUUGUUCGGAAUUACUGGGCGUAAAGGGUUCGUAGGUGGCUUGCUAAGUCAGACGUGAAAUCCCUCAGCUUAACUGGGGAACUGCGUCUGAGACUGGCCGGCUUGAGUGCAGGAGAGGAACGCGGAAUUCCAGGUGUAGCGGUGAAAUUCGUAGAUAUCGGGAGGAACACCGGUGGCGAAGGCGGCGACCUGGGUAGAUACUGACGCUGAGGUGCGAAAGCGUGGGGAGCAAACAGG